rnacentral:lncRNA from 1 species
AGAACCUUAUGUGAUGCCUCCUAGGACAGUACGAGAGAUGAGACCACGAGCAAGGCGUGCAAUGAUUCGAGCACAGAAAAAGGCAGAGCAGCAACAAGAGAAUGCUGAGCAGCGACAGAAUGCUGAGGAAAUGAAGAAUAGCAAAAAGAGUGAAGCAUAGGAAGAGAGUGCAUGAAAAUGUUAUCAUUUGAAUGCGAAGUAGGCUUUAUCUGUUUGCUUUUAGCAAAUCCUAUAAAUGUCAUAUUGAAUUCUUCUGUUUUAAGGUCUCCUAGUAAGAGCAUUGUUAAGAAGAAAUUGUGUUUAUUAAACAAUCUUGCAUCUUUUUGUGAUAACGCUUGAGUUCAAGUUCGAACCAGACUACCAUUUUGGCAUUCUAAAGGUACAUUUGGCAUCAAUAAAAAUAGUCCAAAAAUAUUCUCAUGAGCAUGACAAAAAAAAUGUCCAAAAGUGACAUACAUCAUACAAAUAUUCGAUUUAUGUAAUGUGACAAUAAAAUGAUUUUUUUUUUUCAUGAUCUGCGUGUGAUAUCAUUGUGGUAUUUUGAUUUUACUUCAGGUCUUAGGAUUAAGGACUAGUUUGAGAUCUGGUUUGGAUUAGUCCCUAGCCUACGUCAAUUUUUUUAAGUUUGAUAUUUUUUUAUUCAUGAAAUAAUAUACAGCUUGAAAAUUGAAAUACUUAUCUACCUUAUGAUGUCAUCGUCAGGUCCUUUUUGUGUAAAAGAAGGAACUACAAACGGAAAUUGAUUUACAGAGCCUAUGGACAGGGAAUGUGAAAACACAUCAAACAUGUGUAUGUUAUAAAGUGAUGUUAGCAACCUUAUCUCACUGCAUAGAAAACAUACUUUAGGGGAGCAAAGUUGUAGAAGGAACAAAGAUUCUAAUCACUUGAGGAGGUUUAGAAAUUAAUGAUGGAUAUUGUUGCUUCCUUGCAAGAAAAAAUCUAAAAAAGAAUCAAAAUUCAGUGUGAAGGAGCUAGCAUUGUUGAAUCAAAGAAGAUAUUAUUAGAAAAAAGACAAGGUUAAAAAGAGAGUGGGACUCCUUGAAAUCUUUUAAAGAAAGAGGAGUGGGUUCUAAAGCUACCAUCAAGAACAUUUAUAACUUAUAAGAAGAAUUUGAGGUAGGAAGCAUGCUAGGAAAUUGCUUUAGUUUUUAACAAUGUUGCUUCACAUGAGGAUGUUUGAGACUGUUGCUAAACACGUUGUAUGAUGUAAGCCACCAUUCGAACAGUGUAAAAUAUUUGAAGCAUCAUGUUGUAAAGAUCAAUCAUAACUUGAACGUCUUCCUGGUAUUUUCCCAGCAGAAAAUACUAACAAACACUUAAAAGAAGAAUGAAAUAAAAGGAUAUCCUAUUCAUUAAAGGCUUAGAUAUGUUGGUUUAUACUAGAAGGUCUAAAAAUGUUUUAGAAAUUACAU